rnacentral:lncRNA from 1 species
AUGAACAGCACGUCCCAGGCAGCCCCUUCACUGCUCGGGUCACAGGUGACGACUCCAUGCGUAUGUCCCACCUAAAGGUCGGCUCUGCUGCCGACAUCCCCAUCAACAUCUCAGAGACGGAUCUCAGCCUGCUGACGGCCACUGUGGUCCCGCCCUCGGGCCGGGAGGAGCCCUGUUUGCUGAAGCGGCUGCGUAAUGGCCACGUGGCCAUGCCCUGUGUCCAGGGAUUUCAUUCGUGCCCAAGGAGACGGGGGAGCACCUGGUGCAUGUGAAGAAAAAUGGCCAGCACGUGGCCAGCAGCCCCAUCCCGGUGGUGAUCAGCCAGUCGGAAAUUGGGGAUGCCAGUCGUGUUCGGGUCUCUGGUCAGGGCCUUCACGAAGGCCACACCUUUGAGCCUGCAGAGUUUAUCAUUGAUACCCGCGAUGCAGGCUAUGGUGGGCUCAGCCUGUCCAUUGAGGGCCCCAGCAAGGUGGACAUCAACACAGAGGACCUGGAGGACGGGACGUGCAGGGUCACCUACUGCCCCACAGAGCCAGGCAACUACAUCAUCAACAUCAAGUUUGCCGACCAGCACGUGCCUGGCAGCCCCUUCUCUGUGAAGGUGACAGGCGAGGGCCGGGUGAAAGAGAGCAUCACCCGCAGGCGUCGGGCUCCUUCAGUGGCCAACGUUGGUAGUCAUUGUGACCUCAGCCUGAAAAUCCCUG